rnacentral:snoRNA from 1 species
AUCCAAAAUUCCUUAGCCAUCAGAUCUAAACACUGGUCUGGGUGAUUACAAAAAGAGGAAAAGUAAAAUUGAAACUGAUCUCAAUUGUUUUGUGACACACAAGCUAGUUUCAACACAC